GAUCCCACCUGACCCCAUGCCGAACUCAGAAGUGAAACGCCGUAGCGCCGAUGGUAGUGUGGGGUCUCCCCAUGUGAGAGUAGGGAACUGCCAGGC
rnacentral:rRNA from 1 species